rnacentral:misc_RNA from 1 species
CUGUAAGAAAAUUGUCAUCUGAAAACCAUUGCAUAACAGUUACCAUGUCUGUUUUCAAUUAGCAGUACAAAGGUUUUUAAAAAUUGUUGGCCAUGAGCCUGAAUUUUAGUAAUCAUGUCAUAUGUGCCAAUGAUGUUUUUUAAAUUACAUGGAAGUUUUUCUUGUGAUUCCAGUGGGGGAAAAUAAUUUUUUUUUUCUCUGUGUCUGUGUACGUUUGAGAAAGCAAGACUUCUAGAUGAAACAUUUGACUGUGAUUUGUGAUGUUUAGUUUCUGUAACAGCAAUUAUCAAGAACCAGUGGCUAAUAAUAUCCAUUUAUGUAUAGUAAAUGUUGAACAUGUGAUUAUACAGUGCAUAUGGAAGGUUGAUUAUAAAGCUAUGGAAAAAGGGUACUGUGUAUAUGAGUAAUGGGUACAACUGAGAUGAAAAAAUGUACUUUUAUUUCAUUUUUAUUCAUUCCAUGCAAUUUUUUUUCUAUUUGUGUCUUCAAUUACCUGAAAUACAGGACGUAAUUUAAUACAUAUACAUGUACUGACAACCAUUUCAUAAAUGCAUUGUGUUGUGUGUAGUACCAUUCAAUAUUGCAUUUGCUUCCUAUUUUUUGUGUCAAAAAUGUCAUUAUUAAAGACCUAAUUUU